rnacentral:rRNA from 1 species
AAAGAUUAAGCCAUGCAUGUCUAAGUAUAAGCAAUUAUACAGCGAAACUGCGAAUGGCUCAUUAUAUAAGUUAUCGUUUAUUUGAUAGUACCUUACUACUUGGAUAACCGUGGUAAUUCUAGAGCUAAUACAUGCUAAAAAUCCCGACUUCGGAAGGGAUGUAUUUAUUAGAUUAAAAACCAAUGCCCUCUGGGCUCCUUGGUGAUUCAUAAUAACUUUUCGAAUCGCACGGCCUUGCGCCGGCGAUGGUUCAUUCAAAUUUCUUCCCUAUCAACUUUCGAUGUUUGGGUCUUGGCCAAACAUGGUCGCAACGGGUAACGGAGGGUUAGGGCUCGACCCCGGAGAAGGAGCCUGAGAAACGGCUACUACAUCCAAGGAAGGCAGCAGGCGCGCAAAUUACCCAAUCCCGAUUCGGGGAGGUAGUGACAAUAAAUACUGAUACAGGGCUCUUUUGGGUCUUGUAAUUGGAAUGAGUACAAUUUAAAUCUCUUAACGAGGAACAAUUGGAGGGCAAGUCUGGUGCCAGCAGCCGCGGUAAUUCCAGCUCCAAUAGCGUAUAUUAAAGUUGUUGUGGUUAAAAAGCUCGUAGUUGAACCUUGGGCCUGGCUGGCCGGUCCGCCUCACCGCGUGCACUGGUCCGGCCGGGCCUUUCCCUCUGUGGAACCCCAUGCUCUUCACUGAGUGUGGCGGUGAAACAGGACUUUUACUUUGAAAAAAUUAGAGUGCUCCAGGCAGGCCUAUGCUCGAAUACAUUAGCAUGGAAUAAUAAAAUAGGACGCGUGGUUCUAUUUUGUUGGUUUCUAGGACCGCCGUAAUGAUUAAUAGGGACAGUCGGGGGCAUCAGUAUUCAAUUGUCAGAGGUGAAAUUCUUGGAUUUAUUGAAGACUAACUACUGCGAAAGCAUUUGCCAAGGAUGUUUUCAUUAAUCAGGAACGAAAGUUAGGGGAUCGAAGACGAUCAGAUACCGUCGUAGUCUUAACCAUAAACUAUGCCGACUAGGGAUCGGACGAUGUUAUUUUUUGACGCGUUCGGCACCUUACGAGAAAUCAAAGUGCUUGGGCUCCAGGGGGAGUAUGGUCGCAAGGCUGAAACUUAAAGAAAUUGACGGAAGGGCACCACCAGGGGUAAACCGCUUCGCGCAGCCGCAGUAGCUCUGCCCCAGAAAGCAGCCCGAAAGGGUCAGUGGUGUUCCUGCCAGCGCUCCGGCGCGGCGAACUAAUUGCUAGUCUCCUCUGGAGGCGACACCCUCAAAUUGCGGGAAAAUCCUAAAGCCAGUGUCACCAAGCCGGCGCCGAAAGGGCGUCGGUGGCCGGGGUAGCGACCUAGGGUACGGUAAAAGCACACUGGAUAAUGCAAUGGACGAUCCGCAGCCAAGCCUCGUCGCCGCAGGGCACGGGGAAGGUUCAGAGACUACAUGGGGGUGGGUUCCAUGUAACGUCUCUGUUGGGGCAGUCCCCUUCUAUCGGGCAGAGAGGAUUCGAAAGAGUCCUAGUUACGGGCGACACCACCUGGUACAGGGAACGCCGACCCAGGCACAUCAGCAAUGAUGUACUGGAGGCCGAUCCUGUGGCGAGCUCGGGUCACGCCGAGCCGUCGCAACGUGCGGAAAGGGGUGGGCCAGCAUAACCUGCUGGCUUAAGGUACGUACUAAUCCCAUGGGAAACCAUGCCCGUGCAGCAAGGCCCGAUAGGCUGAUCUGCACGGGGGCAGGCCACAGGCCUGCCGGCGUCGCCCGCGUAUGCGGGUGGACGAACAAAUGCUGUGAUGCCCUUAGAUGUUCUGGGCCGCACGCGCGCUACACUGACGGAGCCAGCGAGUACUUCCUUGGUCGAAAGGCUCGGGUAAUCUUGUUAAACUCCGUCGUGCUGGGGAUAGAGCAUUGCAAUUAUUGCUCUUCAACGAGGAAUCCCUAGUAAGCGCAAGUCAUCAGCUUGCGUUGAUUACGUCCCUGCCCUUUGUACACACCGCCCGUCGCUACUACCGAUCGAAUGGCUCAGUGAGGCGUCCGGACUGGCCCAGGGAGGUGGGCAACUACCCCCCCGGGCCGGGAAGCUCUCCAAACUCGGUCAUUUAGAGGAAGUAAAAGUCGUAACAAGGUCUCCGUUGGUGAACCAGCGGAGGGAUCAUUA